rnacentral:rRNA from 1 species
GUUUACGGCAAUACCACGUUGACAACACCAGGUCUCGUUCGAUCCCUGAAGUUAAGCAACGUUGGGCCGAGUCAGUACCAAGCAGGUAGACCACCUGGGAAUACUCUGUGUUGUGGACA